rnacentral:rRNA from 1 species
UACGUAGGGUGCGAGCGUUGUCCGGAAUUAUUGGGCGUAAAGGGCGCGUAGGCGGGCGAUCAAGUCGGGGGUGAAAUCCUCCAGCUUAACUGGAGAACAGCUUCCGAUACUGGUCGUCUCGAGUGAGGUAGGGGCGUGCGGAACUGAUGGUGGAGCGGUGAAAUGUGUUGAUAUCAUCAGGAGCUCCGGUGGCGAAAGCGGCGCGCUGGACCUCAACUGACGCUGAGGCGCGAAAGCCAGGGGAGCAAACGGG